GGACUACAGGGGUAUCUAAUCCUGUUUGCUCCCCUUGCUUUCGCGCCUCAGCGUCAGUUAUAGCCCAGAAAACCGUCUUCACCACCGGUGUUCUUCCACAUAUCUACGCAUUUCACCGCUACACGUGGAAUUCCGUUUUCCCUAACUACACUCUAGCUAAUCAGUUUCAAAUGCAGCUCCGGGGUUGAGCCCCGUAAUUUCACAUCUGACUUCUUUUGCCGCCUACGCGCCCUUUACGCCCAGUAAUUCCGAUCAAUGCUUGCACCCUCCGUAUUACCGCGGCUGCUGGCAC
rnacentral:rRNA from 1 species